AUUGAACGCUGGCGGCAGGCCUAACACAUGCAAGUCGAGCGGAUGAAGGGAGCUUGCUCCUGGAUUCAGCGGCGGACGGGUGAGUAAUGCCUAGGAAUCUGCCUGGUAGUGGGGGAUAACGUCCGGAAACGGGCGCUAAUACCGCAUACGUCCUGAGGGAGAAAGUGGGGGAUCUUCGGACCUCACGCUAUCAGAUGAGCCUAGGUCGGAUUAGCUAGUUGGUGGGGUAAAGGCCUACCAAGGCGACGAUCCGUAACUGGUCUGAGAGGAUGAUCAGUCACACUGGAACUGAGACACGGUCCAGACUCCUACGGGAGGCAGCAGUGGGGAAUAUUGGACAAUGGGCGAAAGCCUGAUCCAGCCAUGCCGGGUGUGUGAAGAAGGUCUUCGGAUUGUAAAGCACUUUAAGUUGGGAGGAAGGGCAGUAAGUAAUACCUUGCUGUUUUGACGUUACCAACAGAAUAAGCACCGGCUAACUUCGUG
rnacentral:rRNA from 1 species